rnacentral:rRNA from 1 species
UACGAAGGCGGCAAGCGUUGUUCGGAUUUACUGGGCGUACAGGGAGCGUAGGCGGUUGGAUAAGCCCUCCGUGAAAUCUCCAGGCUUAACCUGGAAAGUGCAGAGGGGACUGUUCAGCUAGAGGAUGGGAGAGGAGCGCGGAAUUCCAGGUGUAGCGGUGAAAUGCGUAGAUAUCGGGAGGAACAUCAGUGGCGAAGGCGGCUACCUGGCCCAAUACUGACACUCAGGUGCGACAGCGGUGGGGAGCAAACAGG